rnacentral:lncRNA from 1 species
ACCCGGACUCCGCCCUCUCCCGGACGCUCACGCGGAAAUCCGCGCGCAGCGGCCCGGCAUCCCGCCCGGGUGGCCCCGCGCCUCACCAUGGCGUUGACUUGCUGCACCGCGCGCCCGAAGUUGGUAGCCUGGAAGCCGGUGGUGCGGUAGGCGUCCAGAAGCGCAUGGUAAUCUACGCCGCGGUUGAAGUCGUAGCCUUGGACCUGGGCGCUCUCGGGCGGCAACGCUGAGCUGUGCUUGAGCACGGCGGCCAGCGCCGAGGAGGGCGCCGCCCCUGGCGGGGUCCCUUCCAUGUGCUCGCGGCCGCUCUCAGGUCUCAGCAGCCUCGGCGCCCUGAGACCCGCAAAAUCCCUCAGCGAGGUCGGCCGGAGCCCAGGAAGUGCGACUCGAGAGCCUUGGGGGCGUGGGGCGACGAAACCGGAAGUCACUUGGUCUCGUGACCUUGGGCAGCGCCCGCCGUCCUGGUAGCCGCCAUUUUAUCCCUGUGUUCCGUACAUGUGGUCCAGGAGCUGUUACUGAGCUUCAAGCAUAGGGAAGUGCCUAGUUUGCAAGCUGUCUCUCUGUCCAAAUAUUCUUGUCCCCCAUGAGCGAAGUGAUUGUUUCUUGGACGGUGUCCUUGAACACGACUUAGGGCAUCAGGC